CGAACGCUGGCGGCAGGCCUAACACAUGCAAGUCGAGCGGACCUUUCGGGGUCAGCGGCGGACGGGUGAGUAACGCGUGGGAAUAUGCCCUUCUCUACGGAAUAGUCCUGGGAAACUGGGGGUAAUACCGUAUACGCCCUUUGGGGGAAAGAUUUAUCGGGGAAGGAUUAGCCCGCGUUGGAUUAGGUAGUUGGUGGGGUAAUGGCCUACCAAGCCGACGAUCCAUAGCUGGUUUGAGAGGAUGAUCAGCCACACUGGGACUGAGACACGGCCCAGACUCCUACGGGAGGCAGCAGUGGGGAAUCUUAGACAAUGGGGGCAACCCUGAUCUAGCCAUGCCGCGUGAGUGAUGAAGGCCUUAGGGUUGUAAAGCUCUUUCAGCUGGGAAGAUAAUGACGGUACCAGCAGAAGAAGCCCCGGCUAACUCC
rnacentral:rRNA from 1 species